UGACUGUAGACUCUCAGAUACUCACUGUGAAGUUGUGGUCUCAGCUCUGAAGUCCAACCCCUCCCAUCUGAGAGAGCUAGACCUGAGUCUAAAUGACCUGAAGGAUUCAGGAGUGAAACUGCUUUUCGCUGGACUGGAGAGUCCAAACUGUAGACUGAAGACUCUGAGAUUGAGGCGCUGCAACUUGUCAGAGAUCAGCUGUGCUCCUCUGGCCUCAGCUCUGAAGUCCAACCCCUCCCAUCUGAGAGAGCUGGAUCUGAGUAACAACUACUACCUUCAGGAUCCAGUGAAGCUCCUGUGUGGUUUUCUGGAGAGUCCACACUGUAGACUGGAGACUCUGAGAUUGACGAGCUUCGGGUUGUCAGAGAUCAGCUGUGCUUCUCUGGCCUCAGCUCUGAAGUCCAACCCCUCCCAUCUGAGAGAGCUGGAUCUGAGGAACAACGACCACCUGAAGGAUUCAGAUGUGAAGCAGCUGUCUGAUCUGGUGGAGAACUCUGAGGUCAGUAGAG